GACGAACGCUGGCGGCGUGCUUAACACAUGCAAGUCGAACGAAGCUUGAUUACGGAUUCUUCGGAUGAAGUAUGAUAUGACUGAGUGGCGGACGGGUGAGUAACGCGUGAGUAACCUGCCCUUCAGAGGGGGAUAGCGCUUGGAAACGAACGGUAAUACCGCAUAAUGUAUUUUGACCGCAUGAUCGAAAUACCAAAGAUUUAUCGCUGAAGGAUGGACUCGCGUCUGAUUAGGUAGUGGGUGGGGUAACGGCCUACCAAGCCGACGAUCAGUAGCCGGACUGGGAGGUUGGCCGGCCAGGUUGGGACUGAGACACGGCCCAGACACGGACGGGAGGCAGCAGUGGGGAAUAUUGCACAAUGGGCGCAAGCCUGAGGCAGCAACGCCGCGUGAAGGAAGACGGUUUUCGGAUUGUAAACUUCUGUUCUUAGUGAAGGAUAAUGACGGUAGCUAAGGAGCAAGCCACGGCUAACUACGUG
rnacentral:rRNA from 1 species